rnacentral:rRNA from 1 species
UACGUAGGGGGCAAGCGUUGUCCGGAUUUAUUGGGCGUAAAGAGCGUGUAGGCGGCUAGGUAGGUCCGUUGUGAAAACUCGAGGCUCAACCUCGAGACGUCGAUGGAAACCAUCUAGCUAGAGUCCGGAAGAGGAGAGUGGAAUUCCUGGUGUAGCGGUGAAAUGCGCAGAUAUCAGGAGGAACACCAGCGGCGAAGGCGGCGCUCUGGGCCGGAACUGACGCUGAGGAGCGAAAGCGUGGGUAGCAAACAGG